rnacentral:rRNA from 1 species
CCUACGGGAGGCAGCAGUAGGGAAUAUUGCUCAAUGGGGGAAACCCUGAAGCAGCAACGCCGCGUGGAGGAUGAAGGUUUUCGGAUUGUAAACUCCUUUUGUUAGAGAAGAUAAUGACGGUAUCUAACGAAUAAGCACCGGCUAACUACGUGCCAUCAGCCGCGGUAAUACGGAGGGUGCAAGCGUUACUCGGAAUCACUGGGCGUAAAGAGCGCGUAGGCGGGAUAGCAAGUCAGAUGUGAAAUCCUAUGGCUUAACCAUAGAACUGCAUUUGAAACUGUUAUUCUAGAGUAUGGGAGAGGUAGGUGGAAUUCUUGGUGUAGGGGUAAAAUCCGUAGAGAUCAAGCGGAAUACUCAUUGCGAAGGCGACCUGCUAGCACAUAACUGACGCUGAUGCGCGAAAGCGUGGGGAGCGAACAGGAUUAGAUACCCCGGUAGUC